AAUGGCGUAGACCAACGGUAGGUCACCAGUUAUUGGAAACUGGAUGUGCGGGUUCAAGUCCCGUCGUCAAUA
rnacentral:tRNA from 2 species